ACGUUGAACCACCGGUUCACGUACGAUCACCGAAGUUAAGCAACGUCGAGUUUAGUCAGUACAUAGAUGGGUGACCGCUUGGGAAUACU